rnacentral:rRNA from 1 species
GUGGGGAAUAUUCCGCAAUGGACGAAAGUCUGACGGAGCAACGCCGCGUGAGUGAUGAAGGUUUUCGGACUGUAAAGCUCUGUUGUUUAGGACGAAAGUGCCUGUUGCGAACAGUUACAGGUAUUGACGGUACUAAACGAGGAAGCCACGGCUAACUACGUGCCAGCAGCCGCGGUAAUACGUAGGUGGCAAGCGUUGUCCGGAAUUAUUGGGCGUAAAGAGCAUGUAGGCGGAGAUUUAAGUCUGUUGUGAAAAUGCGGGGCUCAACCCCGUAUGGCGAUGGAAACUGAAUUUCUUGAGUGCAGGAGAGGAAAGGGGAAUUCCCAGUGUAGCGGUGAAAUGCGUAGAUAUUGGGAGGAACACCAGUGGCGAAGGCGGCUUUCUGGACGGUGUCUGACACUGAGGCGCGAAAGCUAGGGGAGCGAACGGGAUUAGAAACCCGGGUAGUCC